rnacentral:rRNA from 1 species
CAGUCGCCGCGGGAAUACGGAGGGUGCAAGCGUUAAUCGGAAUUACUGGGCGUAAAGCGUGCGUAGGCGGUUUGUUAAGUCUGUUGUGAAAGCCCCGGGCUCAACCUGGGAAUGGCAAUGGAUACUGGCGAGCUAGAGUGUGUCAGAGGAUGGUGGAAUUCCCGGUGUAGCGGUGAAAUGCGUAGAGAUCGGGAGGAACAUCAGUGGCGAAGGCGGCCAUCUGGGACAACGCUGACGCUGAGGCACGAAAGCGUGGGGAGCAAACAGGAUUAGAUACCCCUGUAGUCCCUGUCUCUUAUAC